rnacentral:lncRNA from 1 species
AUAAGUUGACUGUUAGGACGUUGAGAGAAAGAACUCUAUGUUUGAAGUAUCUGAAGGAUGGGUUGAAUGGAAUGAGGGGAUAAAUUGUUAGGUUGUAUUGGGAUGAUUACCUUGUAGGUGUCCCACGGGAUCACCAAUUUAUUUUUGCACCUUCGGGAGCAUUUGACUGAUAUGUGUUCUGCAGAACACUAGACUGAUAUGUACGUCCCUCGGGGCGUUAGACUGAUAUGUACGUCCUUCGGGGCGUUAGACUGAAAUGUGUAUCCUACGGGAUCACAAGACUGCGACUGUACAGGGUGUCCCAAUAGAACUUUAACAAUUUAUUUUCCCCUGACGAGACCAGUAGAGGGUCUCUUACUGAGUAUUUAAAAUACUCACCCUUCUUAUGUUUAAUUUUCAGGCAAAGGUAAUAAAGGCGGCAAACCGGCGAGGGGCAGGAAGGAAGCGUGAUGCCAUAGGAAACGUGUAAUUGCUUCCGCUUAAUUAAGAUUGAUUUGAAAUUUAGUUUACAAACGUUUGUUGCAAACAGUAUUAGUUUAUGUUUUCUUGAAUGUUUAAAAAUCAGGCCUGACUUGAAGAUGUUUUUUUUUUUUAAAUUGCUUACGUUUUUUUUUUAUUUUAAUCAGAGUCUUUUAUUUGUUAAAAACUAACGAUCUCGACUUACUUAGAAAAGUUGGGUCGUUACAGUUGGUAUCAGAGCCUAAGUUUUAGGUUCUGUAGACUGACUUACGAUGUAAGUCUAUGUUUUUGUGUUCCUAUGGCAAACGCGACCCUUCGUCUCUCGUCAGGUAUGCUUUAUGCUUAUAUGUAUGGUUUAUUUGCAUGACCUUGCCUAAAUUAAACUAGAUUGCAUGACGAUAAAGACUUGCUUAUGUUUAUGAUUAAGAUUUUGUUAAAGAGUGUUGUUGGUGGGUAAUAGGAAUUAUGCCGCCAAGGGAAGAAGUACGUAGAGGAGGUCGUAGAGGCCGAGGUAGAGGAGUAGUAGGGCCGAGGUAGAGGAGCAGGUCGUAAUCAGCCUACUGGGGUCAAGCUGAACAGCAAAUUCCUGCUGCACCCGUGACUCACGUUGAGUUUGAUGCACUGUCUGCUCACAUGGAGCAGAGGUUUACAGAACUUAUGACAGCUAUAGCUCAAAACCAGCAGGCACCUGCAGUCCCACCUGCACCUGUAGUUCCCCCUGCACCAGCAGCCCCUCCUGCACAAGAAUUACCUAACCAACUUUCUGCUGAGGCGAAACAUUUGAGGGACUUUCGGAAGUAUGACCUCAGACGUUUGAUGGGUCACUGGAGGAUCCUACUAAAGCUGAAAUGUGGUUGUCCUAUGUGGAAACCAUAUUUAAUUACAUGAGAUGUCCUGAGGAGCACAGAGUUCAGUGUGCUGCUUUUCUACUGAGGGACAGAGGCAUUAUCUGGUGGAGGACUACAAUGCGCAUGCUAGGUGGAGAUGUGAGGCAGAUUACCUGGGAUCAGUUUAAGGACUGCUUCUAUACCAAGUUUUUCUCGGCUAACCUUAGAGACGCCAAAAGCCAGGAAUUCUUGGAGUUGAAGCAAGGAUAUAUGACAGUCGAGGAGUACGACCAGGAGUUUGAUAUGCUGUCACGUUUUGCCCCUGAGCUUGUUAGUAAUGAGCAGGCUAGAGCUGAUAGGUUCGUCAAGGGAUUGAGAGAUGAAAUUAGGGGUUUGUGCGAGCACUAAAGCCCACUACCCAAGCUGAAGCACUGCGUCUGGCAGUGGAUAUGAGUAUUGGGAAGGAUGAAAGACAGCCAAGGAGCUUUAAUAAGGGAUCGUCGUCGGGUCAAAAGAGAAAAGUAGAGCAGAUAACUGUAGGAGUUCCUCAGAGGAACAUGAGACCAGGUGAUUCUUUUCGCAGUUUCCAGCAGAAUUCUGGCGCGUGCAGGAGACACUACUCAAGAGAGGCCAGUAUGUGAUACGUGUGGGAAACGCCACCUGGGUCGUUGUUUGAUGGAACGAGAGUCUGUUAUAAGUGCAAGCAAGAGGGACACAUGGCUGAUAGGUGUCCCUUGAGAUCUACUGGGGCUGGAUCGAGCAGUCAGGGAGAGAGACCUCCACAGCGGGGUACAAUCUUUGCCACUAAUAGAUCAGAGGCAGAGAAGGCCGGCACAGUAGUGACAGGUACGUUACCAGUAUUGGGGCAUUUUGCCUUGACCUUGUUUGACUCGGGAUCUUCUCAUUCAUUUAUUUCAUCGCUUUUUGUGACGCAUGCAUGCUUAGAAGUGGAACCUUAGACUAUGUUUUGUCAGUGUCUACACCGUCUGGAGAAAUUAUGUUGUCUAAGGAAAAGAUUAAAGCAUGUGAAAUUGAAAUAGCUGGUCGUGUGUACUGGACGUAACCUUGUUGGUAUUAGAUAUGCGUGACUUUGAUGUAAUUUUAGGUAUGGAUUGGCUAGCUACUAAUGAUGCUAGUAUUGAUUGUUCUCGUAAGGAAGUUGUGUUUAGUCCCCCUACUGCAUCUAGCUUUAAAUUCAAGGAGUAGGAACAGUAGUACUGCCUAAAGUAAUCUCAGCUAUGAAAGCUAGUAAACUACUCAACCAGGGUACUUGGAGUAUUUUGGCAAGUGUGGUGGAUACUAGGGAAGGUGAGACUUCUUUAACUUCAGAACCUGUGGUAAGAGACUACCCAGAUGUAUUUCCAAAAGAUCUUCCAGGACUACCGCCACAUAGAGAGGUUGAUUUUGCCAUUGAGUUGGAGCCAAACACUACUCCUAUUUCUAGAGCCCCUUAUAGGAUGGCUCCUGCUGAGUUGAAAGAACUGAAGGUACAGUUACAGAAUUGCUUGACAAAGGCUUUAUUCGACCUAGUGUGUCACCUUGGGGUGCACCAGUAUUGUUUGUGAAGAAGAAGGAUGGGUCGAUGCGUCUUUGCAUUGACUAUAGAGAGUUGAAUAAAGUAACAGUCAAGAACAGGUAUCCUUUACCCAGAAUCGAUGAUUUUGUUCGAUCAGUUACAGGGAGCCACGGUGUUCUCUAAGAUUGACUUACGGUCAGGUUAUCACCAGUUGAGGAUUAGAGACCGUGAUAUUCCUAAGACUGCCUUUCGUUCGAGGUAUGGACAUUAUGAAUUCAUAGUGAUGUCUUUUGUUUGACUAAUGCACCUGCUGUAUUUAUGGAUUUGAUGAACAGGGUGUUUAAGGAUUUCUUGGACACUUUUGUGAUAGUCUUCAUUGAUGAUUAUCUUGGUUUAUUCCAAGACUGAAGUCGAACAUGAGGAACAUUUUACAUAAGGUAUUAGAGACUCUUCGAGCCAAUAAACUGUAUGCUAAGUUCUCGAAGUGCGAAUUUUGGUUGAAGCAAGUGACUUUUCUUGGUCAUGUGGUUUCCAGUGAGGGAGUUUCAGUAGACCUGCAAAGAUAGAAGCUGUUACCAGUUGGUCUCGACCCUCCACAGUUGGUGAGGUUCGUAGUUUUCUGGUGUUUAGCAGGGUACUACCGGAGGUUUGUGGAGGAUUUUUCAACGUUUGGCUACUCCUUUGACUCAGUUGACAAGGAAGGGAACUCCGUUUGUUUGGAGUCCAGCUUGUGAGGAUAGUUUUCAGAACCUUAAGCAAAGGUUAGUUACUGCACCGGUCCUUACUGUACCAGAUGGAUCAUUGGAAGUUUGUGAUUUACAGUGAUGCUUCCAAGAAAGGACUGGGUUGUGUUUUGAUGCAGAAAGGUAAGGUGGUUGCUUAUGCCUCUCGUCAGUUGAAGAGUCACGAAGCAGAACUACCCACACAUGAUUUGGAGUUGGCAGCAGUGGUUUUUUGCAUUGAAGAUAUGGAGACAUUACUUUGUACGGUGAAAAGAUACAAAUCUUUACUGACCAUAAGAGCCUAAAGUACUUCUUCACUCAGAAGGAGUUGAAUAUGAGACAGCCGAAGGUGGCUCGAGUUGGUAAAAGAUUAUGACUGUGAGAUAUUAUACCAUCCUGGUAAGGCGAAUGUGGUGGCUGAUGCUCUUAGUAGAAAAGCAUCACAUUCGUGCAGCACUCAUUACUAGACAGGUACCAUUGCAUCGAGACUUGGAGAGAGCUGAGAUUGCAGUGUCUGUGGGAGAGAGUCACCUCACAGCUAGCUCAAUUAACGGUGCAACCGACUCUGAGGCAGCAAGAUUGUUGAUGGCUCAGAGUAAUGAUCCUUAUUUGAUGGGAGAGACGUAGCCUUGUUGAACAGGGCAGACUGAUGAGUUCUCCAUAUCCUCUGAUGGUGGGUUUGAUGUUUGAGAGACGUUUAUGUGUGCCAGCGAACAGUACAGUUAAGAUUGACUUACUAGAUGAAGCCCAUAAUUCCCCAUUUUCCAUGCAUCCUGGUAGCACGAAAAUGUAUCAGGAUCUAAAACGAUUUUAUUGGUGGCGGAAUAUGAAAAGAAGUGGCGGAAUUUGUUAGUAAGUGUCUAGUAUGUCAGCAAGUUAAGGCACCUAGACAGAAACCAGCAGGUUUAUUACAACCUUUAAGUGUGCCAGAGUGGAAGUGGGAGAAUGUGUCGAUGGAUUUUAUUUCAGGGCUGCCUAAGACCCUGAAGGGUUUCACAGUGAUUCUGGUUGUCAUAGACAGGCUUACAAAAUCGGCACAUUUUGUACCAGGAAAAUCCACUUAUACUGCUAGUAAGUGGGCAGAGUUGUAUUUAACUGAGAUUGUGAGACUGCAUGGAGUGCCUGUAUCGAUUGUUUCUGAUAGGGAUGCACGGUUUACUUCCAAGUUUUGGAAGGGACUUCAGACUGCUAUGGGUACGAGAUUGGAUUUCAGUACAGCCUUUCAUCCACAGACUGAUGGUCAAACUGAACGUUUGAACCAAGUUUUAGAGGAUAUGCUACGAGCUUGUGUUAUAGAGUUUCCAGGUAGUUGGGACUCUCAUCUACAUUUGAUGGAGUUUGCUUAUAACAACAGUUUCCAGGCUACCAUCGGUAUGGCACCAUUUGAGGCUUUAUAUGGCAAAUGUUGUAGAACCCCUGUUUGUUGGAGUGAGGUUGGUGAACAUAGAUUGAUGGGACCUGAAUUAGUUCGGUCUACUAAUGAGGCUAUUCAAAAGAUUAGAGCACGUAUGCAAACAGCGCAGAGUAGACAGAAGAGUUAUGCGGAUGUACGACGAAAAGACCUUAAGUUCGAUGUGGGAGAAAAGGUAUUCUUGAAGGUAGCACCUAUGAAGGGUGUUAUGCGUUUUGAGAAGAAAGGAAAGUUAAGUCCUCGUUUUGUUGGACCAUUUGAGAUCUUAGAGAGGGUUGGUGUUGUGGCGUAUCGCUUGGCAUUACCACCAUCUCUCUCUGCAGUUCAUAAUGUUUUCAUGUUUCGAUGUUGAGGAAGUAUGUGGCCGAUACGUCUCAUGUAGUGGACUAUGAACCCUUGGAGAUUGAUGAGCAUUUGAGCUAUGUAGAACAACCUGUGGAGAUUCUGGCUAGAGAGGUAAAGAUGCUUCGUAAUAGAAGCAUUCCAUUAGUAAAGGUUUUGUGGCGGAAUCAUCGAAUUGAAGAGGCGACAUGGGAGCGAGAGGAAGAGAUGAGGACUCGUUAUCCAGAGUUAUUUCAGGAUUAAAACUUUCGAGGACGAAAGUUUCUUAAGGAGGGAAGAAUGUAAUGCCCCAAAGGUAUGUAUAUAUAUAUAUUUUGUUUUUAAUUUUAUAUAUAUAUAUAUUUAUACUUAAUUUAAAUAAAAAGAAAGAAAAGAAAAGAAUAUUUUUCCUUCCUUCUUCCUCUCGCACGAGCGUCGCACACAACCCCUCUCUCAUUUUCUUUUCUUCUUCCCGUCCCGCCGCAGCCAACCGCAGCCCAGCCGCAACCACACCUCUAUCUUCUUCUUCCCGUCCCGCCGCAGCCAACCGCAGCCCAGCCGCAACCACACCUCUAUCUUCUUCUUCCCGUCCCGCAGCUAGCCGCCGAUCCUUUCUUUCCAUUUUCUUCUUCCGUCCGCAGCCCCACCGCGAAGCAAGACUGCGCCGCUGCCAGUCCAGAUCUGCGGCGCCGUUGCUCUUCCGUCGCUGCAACCGCGGCCGCCAUCUCUGUUCGCGAAGCAAGGCCGCCGCGUGAACCUGUAACCGCCGGCUGUCUCCCCUCCCUUUCUCCUCUGUUUUCAGCCCAGCCGCCGCCGAUUCCUUCUCCUCCGUCGUCUGCACUGCCGCGCGACUCUCCGGCCAUUUGUAUACGGUCUCUCCGUCGCACGUCAUCUCUUCGCAAAGCCACUGCUCGAUUUCUUUCGUGAAGAUUUGGGUAAGUUGCAAAAAGAUUCACAUUGGGUUGAAUUUAAAUGACUGAUGCGUUGAAGGAAUUAUUGAGAAAUUGUCUUAAUGUUUAGGUUCGUUCUUCAUAGACUUCAACGUGGUUAAGGAGCUUAACAAAUUUGAAGGUAAGGGAUUUUCUACUGGACUCACUUAUGAUUGUGAAUUGCAUGUCUGAAUGAUUAUCUUUGACUGAGUAAAGAUGUUGAGAUGAUACUUAUGUUUAUACACGUAUGGGUGUAGAUUCGGUGCUGAAUGUACACUGUGGAUUGACUGAAAAUAUAUAUACAUAUGCAUAGGAAUUGAAGUAGACUUAAUGUGGAAUGCAUAUUGUGAUUGUCAUGGAAUAUAUAUAUAUGUGUGUGGAUGUGGACAGGACGAAAAUUGUAGAUUAUGCUUGUAUGAGAUGCAGAUGCGAUCUUGUGAUUGUCGUUUAGAUUGGGUGUCGUUACGCUAAAGUAUGACUGUGUGCUGGUGAUCUGAGGGGUGUAUUGACUGUAUAGUUUGAUUGACUGAUGUAUUAGUAUGUUAUUGACAGACAUAUGACCUAAGUGAGAUAAGUUGACUGUUAGGACGUUGAGAGAAAGAACUCUAUGUUUUGAAGUAUCUGAAGGAUGGGUUGAAUGGAAUGAGGGGAUAAAUUGUUAGGUUGUAUUGGGAUGAUUACCUUGUAGGUGUCCCACGGGAUCACCAAUUUAUUUUGCACCUUCGGGAGCAUUUGACUGAUAUGUGUUCUGCAGAACACUAGACUGAUAUGUACGUCCCUCGGGGCGUUAGACUGAUAUGUACGUCCUUCGGGCGUUAGACUGAAAUGUGUAUCCUACGGGAUCACAAGACUGCGACUGUACAGGGUG